AACGUAGGAGACAAACGUUAUCCGGAGUUACUGGGCGUAAAGGGCGUGUAGGUGGUAGAGUAAGUCUGGCGUGAAAUUUUUCGGCUUAACCGGGAAAGGUCGUCGGAUACUGCUUAACUAGAGGACGGUAGAGGCGUGUGGAAUUCCGGGUGUAGUGGUGAAAUGCGUAGAGAUCCGGAGGAACACCAGUGGCGAAGGCGACACGCUGGGCCGUACCUGACGCUGAGGCGCGCCAGCGUGGGGAGCAAACAGG
rnacentral:rRNA from 1 species